rnacentral:rRNA from 1 species
UACGGGGGGGGCAAGCGUUGUUCGGAAUUACUGGGCGUAAAGGGCGCGUAGGCGGCCUGCUAAGUCGGAUGUGAAAUCCCUCGGCUCAACCGAGGAACUGCAUCCGAUACUGGCGGGCUUGAAUCCGGGAGAGGGAUGUGGAAUUCCAGGUGUAGCGGUGAAAUGCGUAGAUAUCUGGAGGAACACCGGUGGCGAAGGCGGCAUCCUGGACCGGUACUGACGCUGAGGUGCGAAAGCGUGGGGAGCAAACAGG